rnacentral:rRNA from 1 species
AAUCAGUUAUGGUUCCUUAGAUCGUUCAUACUACAUGGAUAACUGUGGUAAUUCUAGAGCUAAUACAUGCAAAAAGCUCCGACCGUAUGGGAAGAGCGCUUUUAUUAGACCAAAACCAAUGGGGUCGCAAGACUCCUUUGUAUGGUGACUCUGGAUAACUUUGUGCUGAUCGCAUGGCCUAGAGCCGGCGACGUAUCUUUCAAGUGUCUGCCCUAUCAACUUUCGAUGGUAAGCGAUUUGCCUACCAUGGUUGUAACGGGUAACGGGGAAUCAGGGUUCGAUUCCGGAGAGGGAGCAUGAGAAAUGGCUACCACAUCUACGGAAGGCAGCAGGCGCGCAAAUUACCCACUCCUAGAACGGGGAGGUAGUGACGAAAAAUAACAAUACCGGACUCAAUGAGGCUCGGUAAUUGAAAUGAGUACAGUUUAAAACCCUUAACGAGGAUCUAUUGGAGGGCAAGUCUGGUGCCAGCAGCCGCGGUAAUUCCAGCUCCAAUAGCGUAUAUUAAAGUUGUUGCAGUUAAAAAGCUCGUAGUUGGAUCUCGGGUACUAGCAUGUGGUACGCUUAAUUGCUGUUACUACAUGUCUGGUCCUAAUCAACCGGUUGGCCGUUGAUGUCCUUUAUUGGGUGUUUUCGGUAGCCGGUACGUUUACUUUGAGAAAAUUAGAGUGCUUAAAGCAGGCCUUACGCCUGAAUAAUGUUGCAUGGAAUAAUAGAAUAGGACCUCGGUUCUAUUUUGUUGGUUUUGUAGAGCAUUGAGGUAAUGAUUAAUAGGGACAGACGGGGGCAUUCGUAUUGCGGUGUUAGAGGUGAAAUUCUUGGAUCG